rnacentral:rRNA from 1 species
AGCGAACGCUGGCGGCAGGCCUAACACAUGCAAGUCGAACGAACUCUUCGGAGUUAGUGGCGGACGGGUGAGUAACACGUGGGAACGUGCCUUUAGGUUCGGAAUAACUCAGGGAAACUGGUGCUAAUACCGAAUGUGCCCUUCGGGGGAAAGAUUUAUCGCCUUUAGAGCGGCCCGCGUCUGCUUAGCUAGUUGGUGAGGUAAAGGCCCACCAAGGCGACGAUCAGUAGCUGGUCUGAGAGGAUGACCAGCCACAUUGGGACUGAGACACGGCCCAAACUCCUACGGGAGGCAGCAGUGGGGAAUCUUGCGCAAUGGGCGAAAGCCUGACGCAGCCAUGCCGCGUGUAUGAUGAAGGUCUUAGGAUUGUAAAAUACUUUCACCGGUGAAGAUAAUGACUGUAGCCGGAGAAGAAGCCCCGGCUAACUUCGUGCCAGCCGCCGCCGUAAGAC